rnacentral:lncRNA from 1 species
AGGAGAUCUGUGUCGCAUGGGUGAGGGUGACCUUCUCCGUCUAAUAGGUGAUGGUGAUCUAUGUAUGUGCAUUGGUGAAGGUGAUCUACGCCGUCUCACAGGAGAAGGUGAUCUGCGUCGUCGCACAGGAGAAGGUGAUCUGCGUCGUCGCACAGGAGAAGGUGAUCUGCGCCGUUGCACAGGAGAGGGUGACCUGUGUCGCCGCACUAGAUAUGGUGAUCUGUGUCGCCGUACAGGAGAGGGUGAUCUGCGCCGUCGC